ensembl:lncRNA
GUUCAACUCCUUCAUGGAGCGCAGUGUCAGCCUCUCCCUUCGGUGUCCAGAGGCCACUAGCCAACAAACACAACUAUUUACAGGGGUCACCACUGUCCAGGUGCCAGACCGUGUCGUCGCCCAAAUGGGGCAGAGCAGGUCAGGUCAGUGACCUCAGCGGAAAGGGGGACCCUGGUCACAGUUGCGCUGGCAGGCAAUGCAACCUUCCCACCGAGUAGGGUCCAGCUGCAGCCCCGGAGAACAACACCCUGGCGUGACAACAACCCUGGCGCGACGGAAGUACUCUGGCGUGACGGAAGUGAUUUUUUUUUUUUUUAAAUGUACACACCGCUAAAUCGGAAACCAAAGAUGAACCAUGGAAGGACUUCCACCACAGGCAUAUGGGAACGACUGUGGGAUCUUCAUGAUUAUGUAUGCUUGGUACCUUGCCAUGGAGGCACCGUUUAACUUCACUGUUAAAGACAUGCAGUCCUCAGAAAAUUGUGGUGCACAGUACUGCUUGAGAACUUCCAACUGGAUGGGCACGGCAGAAGGUUCCCACACUUCAUGGAGGAGGCCAAACAAAUGGCGGUUGACUACUUCCACCAGUCUUCAGACUGAAGCGAAAAAGAGAAUGAGUUGGAGCUGAUGGCAGUCAGCAUGAAGAAGCUAUAUCUUUAAGAUUCUGUAGAUUAUUUGUUAAAUAAAUUGUGAGGAAACUUUGGUGUGGUUAUUCUUCAAUGUAUAUCUAUAUCAAAUUAUGAUGAUAUAUUUAACAAAAAAUUAAAUUUGAUUCUAUUAGACAUUUUAAAACAAUUACUUAAUUCUAAUGGUC